GUCAGGAGAACUUUAUCUUCGGAUAAAUAUUAAACUGGCGAACGGGUGAGUAACGCGUAAAUAACUUGCCUUGGAGAUUGGGAUAACAUUGGGAAACCAGUGCUAAUACCAAAUAAUGCAGCGGGCCCUUCGGGGCAUUUGUUGUUAAAGUAGGCUUCGGCUUACACUUUGAGAUAGAUUUGCGUCCGAUUAGUUUGUUGGUAGGGUAAUUGCCUACCAAGGCGAAGAUCGGUAGCUGGUCUGAGAGGAUGAUCAGCCACACUGGAAUUGAGAUACGGUCCAGACUCCUACGGGAGGCAGCAGUGAGGAAUUUUGCACAAUGGGCGAAAGCCUGAUGCAGCAACACCGCGUGAUUGAUGAAGUUUUUAGGAAUGUAAAAAUCUGUCGUAAGGGAAGAAAUGUUUCAGAUGUUAAUACCAUCUGUCAUUGACGGUACCUUACAAGAAAGGACCGGCUAACUUCGUGCCAGCAGCCGCGGUAAUACGAGGGGUCCUAGCGUUGUCCGGAUUUACUGGGCGUAAAGGGUACGUAGGCGUUUUAAAAAGUUAUGUGUUAAAUACUUUAGCUUAACUAAAGAAGUGCACAUAAAACUAUUAAAAUAGAGUUUGAGAGAGGAACGCAGAAUUCAUGGUGGAGCGGUGACAUGCGUAGAUAUCAUGAGGAAAGCCAAAUGCGAAGGCAGCCUUCUGGCUCAAAACUGACGCUGAGGUACGAAAGCGUGGGGAGCGAACAGGAUUA
rnacentral:rRNA from 1 species